AUUGAACGCUGGCGGCAGGCCUAACACAUGCAAGUCGAGCGAGCGGCGGACGGGUGAGUAAUGUCUGGGAAACUGCCUGAUGGAGGGGGAUAACUACUGGAAACGGUAGCUAAUACCGCGUACCAUAAGAUGUGCCCAGAUGGGAUUAGCUGGUAGGUGGGGUAACGGCGCACCUGGGCGACGAUCCCUAGCUGGUCUGAGAGGAGGACCAGCAACACUGGAACGGAGACCCUGUCCCGACUCCUACGGGAGGCCGCAGUGGGUGAUAUGUCACAAUGGGCGCAAGCCUGAUGCAGCCAUGCCGCGGGUGGGAAGAAGGCCUUCGGGUUGUAAAGCACUUUCAGCGGGGCGGCGUUACCCGCAGAAGAAGCACCGGCUAAGUCCGUGCCAGCAGCCGCGGUAAUAC
rnacentral:rRNA from 1 species